rnacentral:rRNA from 1 species
GACAGAGGGGGCAAGCGUUGCUCGGAAUUACUGGGCGUAAAGGGCUCGUAGGCGGUUUGUCGCGUCGGGAGUGAAAACACCGGGCUUAACUCGGUGCUUGCUUUCGAUACGGGCAGACUUGAGGCAUGCAGGGGGGAACGGAAUUCCUGGUGUAGCGGUGAAAUGCGCAGAUAUCAGGAGGAACACCGGUGGCGAAGGCGGUUCUCUGGGCCGAUACUGACGCUGAGGAGCGAAAGCGUGGGGAGCAAACAGG